GACAGAGGAGGCAAGCGUUGUUCGGAAUUACUGGGCUUAAAGCGCACGUAGGCGGCUCGGAAAGUGUCCUGUGAAAUCCCGUCGCUCAACGAUGGAACCGCGGGGCAAACUGCCGGGCUUGAGGUCGGUAGAGGUGCCUGGAACUCUAGGUGGAGCGGUGAAAUGCGUAGAUAUCUAGAGGAACGCCGGAAGCGAAAGCGGGGCACUGGGCCGAUUCUGACGCUGAGGUGCGAAAGCGUGGGGAGCAAACAGG
rnacentral:rRNA from 1 species